rnacentral:rRNA from 1 species
GACGAACGCUGGCGGCGUGCUUAACACAUGCAAGUCGAACGGUGAAGGGGUCUGCUUUUGUGGGCCCUGGAUGAGUGGCGAACGGGUGAGUAACACGUGAGUAACCUGCCCCCUUCUUCUGGAUAACCGCAUGAAAGUGUGGCUAAUACGGGAUAUUCUGGGUCUGUCGCAUGAUGGGUCUGGGAAAGAUUGCGCCUUUGGGUGUUGUUGGUGGGGGAUGGGCUCGCGGCCUAUCAGCUUGUUGGUGGGGUGAUGGCCUACCAAGGCGGUGACGGGUAGCCGGGCUGAGAGGGUGGACGGUCACACGGGGACUGAGACACGGCCCAGACUCCUACGGGAGGCAGCAGUGGGGAAUAUUGCACAAUGGGCGCAAGCCUGAUGCAGCGACGCCGCGUGAGGGAGGGAGGCCUUCGGGUUGUAAACCUCUUUCGCCAGUGAAGCAGGCCUGCUCCUUGUGGGUGGGUUGACGGUAGCUGGAUAAGAAGCGCCGGCUAACUACGUG